GCUUGGCUUCUUUGCUGACGAGUGGCGGACGGGUGAGUAAUGUCUGGGAAACUGCCUGAUGGAGGGGGAUAACUACUGGAACGGUAGCUAAUACCGCAUAACGUCGCAAGACCAAAGAGGGGGACCUUCGGGCCUCUUGCCAUCGGAUGUGCCCAGAUGGGAUUAGCUAGUAGGUGGGGUAACGGCUCACCUAGGCGACGAUCCCUAGCUGGUCUGAGAGGAUGACCAGCCACACUGGAACUGAGACACGGUCCAGACUCCUACGGGAGGCAGCAGUGGGGAAUAUUGCACAAUGGGCGCAAGCCUGAUGCAGCCAUGCCGCGUGUAUGAAGAAGGCCUUCGGGUUGUAAAGUACUUUCAGCGGGGAGGAAGGGAGUAAAGUUAAUACCUUUGCUCAUUGACGUUACCCGCAGAAGAAGCACCGGCUAACUCCGUGCCAGCAGCCGCGGUAAUACGGAGGGUGCAAGCGUAAUCGGAAUUACUGGGCGUAAAGCGCACGCAGGCGAUUUGUUAAGUCAGAUGUGAAAUCCCCCGG
rnacentral:rRNA from 1 species